UACGAAGGGGGCUAGCGUUGCUCGGAAUCACUGGGCGUAAAGAGCGUGUAGGCGGCUAGACAGGUCCGCUGUGAAAACUCGAGGCUCAACCUCGAGACGUCGGUGGAAACCGUUUGGCUAGAGUCCGGAAGAGGAGAGUGGAAUUCCCGGUGUAGCGGUGAAAUGCGCAGAUAUCAGGAGGAACACCGGUGGUGUAGGCACGGCUCUCUGGACCGUAACUGACGCUGAGGCACGAAAGCGUGGGUAGCAAACAGG
rnacentral:rRNA from 1 species